UACGGGGGGAGCAAGCGUUGUUCGGAUUUACUGGGCGUAAAGGGCGCGUAGGCGGUCAGCACAAGUCAGUUGUGAAAUCUCCGGGCUUAACUCGGAAAGGUCAACUGAUACUGUGCGACUAGAGUGAGGAAGAGGAAAGUGGAAUUCCGCGUGUAGUGGUGAAAUGCGUAGAGAUGCGGAGGAACACCAGUGGCGAAAGCGGCUUUCUGGUCCUUAACUGACGCUGAGGCGCGAAAGCAUGGGGAGCGAACGGG
rnacentral:rRNA from 1 species